rnacentral:siRNA from 1 species
CGCAGUUAAGCGUGCUUGGGC